UUGUGGAGAAGGACGCCGAAGGUGGGGCUGAUGACUGGGGUGAAGUCGUAACAAGGUAGCCGUACCGGAAGGUGCGGCUGGAUCACCUCCUAACAGGGAGACAAUAAAUUGAUUGUGAUGUCUAGGUUAUUUAUCUUUAGGCCGCAAUCCUGUCACCUUAAGGUCGAUCGGUACCUCAGAUUUUUGAAUUAGUUUUAUAAUUGAUUCUUUGAUUUCAGUUCCUAAACUUGUCUAGGUCACACCCAACAAAGGUUUCUCCUGGGCCAUUAGCUCAGGUGGUUAGAGCGCACCCCUGAUAAGGGUGAGGUCCCUGGUUCAAGUCCAGGAUGGCCCAUUCGUUGUUGGGGGUAUAGCUCAGUUGGUAGAGCGCCUGCUUUGCAAGCAGGAUGUCAGCGGUUCGAGUCCGCUUACCUCCACUGAAAACUAUCCUGAUAACUUAAUUCUGGAGAAAAAAAUUGUAGAUGUGGCUUAGAAUUGUCUAUUGGAAAAGAACCUAGCUUCUUGUCAUCUUUUUAUAGUUGAUAAAAUGCUGGGCUCGCAUGGAUAAUUUCCAUGUGAAUUCAGUAGAACCUUGAAAACUGCAUAGAUUAGAAAGAAUAAAGCAUCUCAUGGAUGCAUAAUUCUGUUUUUAUAAUUUAGCCUUAAAACUAAAUUAUUUAAUUCUAGAAUUCAUGUUUAAUUCUUGAGUGAAAGCCGAGCACAAUUGAUUUUGUGAUUGUAUUAAGGUCAAGCUACAA
rnacentral:misc_RNA from 1 species